UUAGCAUGUCAUGGCUGCCAAGCUAGCUGCGGAGAACCAUUCAGUGCAGUACAGCACUUCCUUUGACAUAAAGUUAUUUAUCACAAAUAUGGAUAUGUGUCAGUUUGUCACUUUCAUGGUCAUGUAGUGAAGAUCUAUUCAGCUACUGAAUAAACUGUCUUGAAGAUAGCUAAAUGUUUUUACGAUUUAGAUUUAGAGAAAACGUACCAACAAGGGACGACGAGUUUGUCACUUUCCCCAUCGACAACCAUCUUGACCAAAUCCGGUCCUGCUCUGCUAAACAUCAUGUAAACGACGGUGACAGGACGUUCCUGUCAGAAACCCUGCCUGUUUUAACGUAAUUUACCGUAGAUACGCAGAUGAAAGACCGCCCUCCCCACAAGCAGUGGUAUAAUUAAAGCAGUGCGUGCCGUUGAAACAGUCUGACUUGAGAAUAAGGGUCUAGAUAAGCAAGCAAGUAGACACUCUGUGUGCCCAACAUCAUUUUUUAACAGCUUGUUUUGCUCUUUGAUUCUGUUCACAAUGGCACAGGUCAACAGAUGUCUGAAACAGCUGUUCUUUGGAUUCAACAUGUUGUUAGGGAUUGCAGGGUGUGUCCUAUUGGUUUUGGGAAUGAUCGCAGCACCACAUAAUACAGAGCAUGACCAAGGAGAGUCGAUUGGCUUGACAUGGAUUAUAUCGACUGCAGUUGUUUCUGUGCUGCUCUCUUUACUUGGAGCAUAUGGUGCAUACCAAGAGAACAUUGUGAUACUGAGAUUGUUCCUUGGAAUAAUAGGCUUUGGAUCAAUCCUUUUUCUUAUUUUGGGAUUUAAAGUGGCUCGUUCAAUGCCUGAGGCCAUGCAACUGAUUCAAGAAAACCUCCCUGCAAUUACAUCAGAAAUGAUGGCUGAUGCAGAGCAGCGACAAACUAUCAUGGCUCUACAAGUACAAGAUUAGUGUUGUGGAAUAAUGAGUUACAGAGACUGGGAUAGCAAUAUUCCAGAGACCUGUCAAUGUUCUAGUUUCAAGUCAGACCCGUCCCAAUGUAUGGAGGUUCAAAUGACUAAAGAUGGCGGCAACUGGGGAAGAUCUGACAAAUCUGAAAUGAUGUGGAUCUACAGAGAGCCCUGUGGUCCUCUCAUCUUGGAGAACUUCAACUCAGCUUUUAAGACCGUACUUGGAUUCUUCCUUGGAUUCGGUUUGUAUGCUUGUAUUGGGCAAGUGUUAUCCGGCGUGAUGAUUCGUCAGGUCAAGAAGGUGCAGUCUACUGACGUCCCUGAGACUAUAGACGAUGGAUAUCGUUUCACACCGCAAUUCCAGGCAAUUCGCCAUGCGGAGGGAGUUGAACCGACGACCUUCUACCCAUAACCAGGGAUGAGGUCAGGGUUUCAGGUUUUUUGGGCAUCCUGGCAAGCGGCGAGGAGUAGAAGGUGCUUGAACAACGUGAGACGAGGUGCAACCAGAUAAAGAAGAUGAGCGUUCGGGAACGACAAGGCACAACUCACUGCUCACAGUUACAAAUGAUGUCAUUUUGGGAGUCACUGUUAUUGUAAAUCAAAUAUGUUUUAAUGAAUAAUCCUGAAUGAAUCGUGAGUAAGGAUGAGUGAGAAACUUAGAGGCGCUAAUAUCACAACUCACUGGUCACCGUUAUAAACAUGACGCUUCGUUUAUCUCAUUUGUGUAUAACAUUAUUUUUUAAAUCAUAAUAAAGUUUAGUCUGUCCAUAGCUUUUUCUGGUCAUUCUGAUGCAGUCCAUUAUAACGUAUCAAAACAUCAUGAUUUUAACUCAACUUAGAUUAGUAACGUAUCAAAACAUCAUGAUUUUAACUCAACUUAGAUUAGUAAUGUAUCAAAACGUCAUGAUUUUAACUCAACUUAGAUUAGUAACGUAUCAAAACAUGAUUUUAACUCAACUUAGAUUAGUAACGUAUCAAAACAUCAUGAUUUUAACUCAACUUAGAUUAGUAACGUAUCAAAACAUCAUGAUUUUAACUCAACUUAGAUUAGUAACGUAUCAAAACAUGAUUUUAACUCAACUUAGAUUAGUAACGUAUCAAAACAUCAUGAUUUUAACUCAACUUAGAUUAGUAACGUAUCAAAACAUGAUUUUAACUCAACUUAGAUUAGUAAUGUAUCAAAACAUCAUGAUUUUAACUCAACUUAGAUUAGUAAUGUAUCAAAACGUCAUGAUUUUAACUCAACUUAGAUUAGUAACGUAUCAAGCUUUUAACUAAGAACGAAAGUCAUGCCUUUUUUUAAAACCUUUUAAAUUCAGGCUAGAAGAGUAAGAAGUGACCUUAGUGUGACCUUAGUGUGACCUUAGUGUGUCCUUAGUGUGACCUUAGUGUGUCCUUAGUGUGACCUUAGUGUGUCCUUAGUGUGUUCUUAGUGUGUCCUUAGUGUGUUCU